GCCAGUGUGGCAUAGUGGUUUGAGCAUUGGACUCUGGACUCUGGACUCUGGAGAUCAGGGUUCGAUUCCCACUCAGCCA